rnacentral:ncRNA from 1 species
CAAAGGUUUGGUCCCAGCCUUCUCAUUAGCUCUUAACAGAUUUACACAUGCAAGCAUCCACACCCCUGUGAAAAUGCCCUCCAAAUCACAAAGAUCAAAAGGAGCAGGUAUCAAGCACGCUAUACCAGCAGCUCACAACACCUUGCUUAGCCACACCCCCACGGGACACAGCAGUGAUAAAAAUUAAGCCAUGAAUGAAAGUUCGACUAAGUCAUGUUAACCAGGGUUGGUAAAUUUCGUGCCAGCCACCGCGGUCAUACGAUUGACCCAAGCUAAUAAGCAUACGGCGUAAAGAGUGUCUAGGAACCACACAAAAUAAAGCCAAGCUUUGACUAAGCUGUAAAAAGCCAUAGUCAAAACCAAGAUAGACUACGAAAGUGACUUUAAUACAGUCUGACUACACGACAGCUAAGACCCAAACUGGGAUUAGAUACCCCACUAUGCUUAGCCGUAAACCUAAAUAGACAUAGAACAAGAUUAUUCGCCAGAGUACUACUAGCAACAGCCUGAAACUCAAAGGACUUGGCGGUGCUUCAUACCCCUCUAGAGGAGCCUGUUCUGUAACCGAUAAACCCCGAUCAACCUCACCAACCCUUGCUACUCCAGUCUAUAUACCGCCAUCUUCAGCAAACCCUAAAAAGGAAUAAAAGUAAGCAUAACUACCCCACGUAAAAACGUUAGGUCAAGGUGUAACUCAUGGGGUGGGAAGAAAUGGGCUACAUUUUCUACAUUAAGAACACCCUUCAUACUCACACGAAAGUUUUCAUGAAACCUGAAAGCCAAAGGAGGAUUUAGUAGUAAAUUAAGAAUAGAGUGCUUAAUUGAAUAAGGCCAUGAAGCACGCACACACCGCCCGUCACCCUCCUCAAGUACCACAGUAAAGCUCCAAUCAAUCAACCCACGCUAAAUAAUUUCACAAGAGGAGACAAGUCGUAACAAGGUAAGCAUACUGGAAGGUGUGCUUGGACAAAA